UACGUNCCAGCAGCCGCGGUAAUACGUAGGGCGCGAGCGUUNUCCGGAAUUAUUGGGCGUAAAGAGCUUGUAGGCGGUUGGUCGCGUCUGCUGUGAAAGGCUGGGGCUUAACCCUGGUUUUGCAGUGGGUACGGGCUAACCAGAGUGCAGUAGGGGAGACUGGAAUUCCUGGUGUAGCGGUGGAAUGCGCAGAUAUCAGGAGGANCACCGAUGGCGAAGGCAGGUCUCUGGGCUGUAACUGACGCUGAGAAGCGAAAGCAUGGGGAGCGAACAGGAUUAGAUACCCUGGUAGUCCAUGCCGUAAACGUUGGGCACUAGGUGUGGGGGACAUUNCACGUUUUCCGCGCCGUAGCUAACGCAUUAAGUGCCCCGCCUGGGGAGUACGGCCGCAAGGCUAAAACUCAAAGAAAUUGACGGGGGCCCGCACAAGCGGCGGAGCAUGCGGAUUAAUUCGAUGCAACGCGAAGAACCUUACCAAGGCUUGACAUAUACUGGACUGCGUCAGAGAUGGCGUUUCCCUUCGGGGCUGGUAUACAGGUGGUGCAUGGUUGUCGUCAGCUCGUGUCGUGAGAUGUUGGGUUAAGUCCCGCAACGAGCGCAACCCUCGUUCUAUGUUGCCAGCACGUGAUGGUGGGGACUCAUAGGAGACUGCCGGGGUUAACUCGGAGGAAGGUGGGGAUGACGCCAAAUCAUCAUGCCCCUUAUGUCUUGGGCUUCACGCAUGCUACAAUGGCCGGUACAGAGGGUUGCGAUACUGUGAGGUGGAGCUAAUCCCUAAAAGCCGGUCCCAGUUCGGAUUGGGGUCUGCAAC
rnacentral:rRNA from 1 species